UGGAACCCUAAUUUAGAAUCUCUCACUUGCCUCUUCUAAUUCAUCGUCGUUCUGCAUAAAAUUCAGCUCAGCAGUGUGUUUUCUUGAAUCAUGGGAGAGCAGAAUCAGCCUAAUUUCGUAGGAACACAAUGGGCAUUUCUUGGAAGUACAAAUGAUUCUUUUUAUCUAGCGGGCCAUGAAUUUAACAAUCAGUACAUGACUGAAGUUGGAAUUGAUGGGAUCCAUUAUGUUCCUGUGCCUUCACCUCAAUGGAUCCAUGACCAGCAAACACCACAUAAUUAUGUCGAAUAUCUUGCAGAGAAUGUGGUCUCUGAGGUAGAUGCUUCGGUAGAAGCUACUGGUUUCAGCCUACUCGAGGGCUCUGCUGACAUUAUUUCUCAGGAGAUAAGAUAUCCGAGGCCUUAUUAUGAAGGUGUGCCACCCAACUGUUUAAAUAGCUCAGAACAUCAACGAGGUGCCUUGGUAAUGUGGAGAUUAUUUUCAAUGUCUGAACUUCAAAGUUAGAAAAACAAAAAGGAGUUGUGACUAUUUCAUGACCAAAAAACUUGCAUAUAUUGACGGCAG
rnacentral:misc_RNA from 1 species